ACGUAGGGGGCGAGCGUUAUUCUUAAUUACUUUUUUUCCCUUCUCUCUCCGCGCCCCCCCCCUUCGCUCCACAAAGUCCAGUGCUCAACGCUGGGUGUGCGCGCGAUACUGACGGGCUUGAGGGCUGGAGAGGUGAGCGGAAUUCCCGGUGUAGUGGUAAAAUAUGUAGAGAUCGGGAGGAACACCAGCGGCGCAGGCGGCUCACUAGACAGUUUCUGACGCUAAGAUGCGAAAGCGUGGGGAGCAAACAG
rnacentral:rRNA from 1 species